GGGGACGUGCAGAGACAUAGGAAGUGAACCUGAAGCCUGACACAUUCAAGGUCUGGGAACCGAACAUAAUAGGAAUUGUUCUUAUUUUUCCAACGGAAUCAAGCACAAAGAUGGGCAUGCCUCUUUGCAGAACCUUAGAUUCAGAACUGUGCCUUGCCCUUUGCUUAUGAGGCAGAGGAAGAGGUAGAAGAGGAAGAGAGAGAACUAUCACAAAGACAGAUGGCAUCAAAGUCUGUGGCCCAGGGUCACCACAAACCCAGGGGACCUGAGGCUGGGCCUGAGAGGCACAGGCAGGCUGAGGAACGGACAGAAGAGUGACACAGAGGCCUACAGGAUGGAAGCCAGCUCUGCAAAGAGCUUCUAAGAAGCUUCCUGCCACAGAAAUUCCACCUGGCCACAGGAAUAGCCCUGGCGCUGGGCCUGGAGGAAGGUGGCAAUGAGCUGCUCGCGGCAGUGACUUUUAGUCAGCACGUCUUACCUGUGCAUCCAAGGAUGGAGAGGCGGCUGUGAGUAGGUCACUGGGUCAGGCAGGUCACAAACCAAGCUCCUCCCAGAGGGAGUUCCCAGCUCUAGGGAUUCCUUAGGUCAAGGAGGGACAGGGUCCCUGUACUUGGGGACCCUCCAGUCUAAUGGGAAGAUACACUCAACCCUCUUAGAGCCCUAGAAUGAAUGCCACUGACAGUUCCUCUCUUCAGGAAGGAAAUCCAGUCUCAGGGAGGAGACAGGGCCCUCGUAUCAUUCUUGCCUUCUCAGCUGUGUAAUACAAGGGAGUGAAGGAAGUGGCAGGCCCUGGGACAGGUCCAUUUCUGUGAUGAAUGGAGGCUCUCAGGGGACCUUCCCACAGCCCUGCUGUCAAGGGCCCCAUCUCCGUCCUCCCGACCCUUCCUCCCUCCCUGCCCCGAUGCCUUACCCGCUGGAACAGAUCCUGAGCUCUGAGCCUAUUCCCAACGCAGGAAUGCUGGCCCCGUCCCGCUUUCCCUCCAACUCUGUUUUUUGUUUUUUCCCAUCCAGACUCCCCCUCCCCCACUUGCCAUUUCCCAAGCUGGCCUCGGGGAGACCAGACCCAACAGCCCACUGGUGAUCUUGUUUUACAUGAGACAUUUCCAAAAAAGACCAAAAAAUCCUUUCCAGGAAAAUGCCAUUUUUAAAAUUCAGCUCCAGACACUGCGGCAACAUUAGGAAAACAAAGGACUUGGCAGAAAUGUUUUCUGCAUGGAGACUUUCUCUAAUACCUUUUCCAAAUUGCCUCCAGUGGGGAUGUCUCCAAGGGUCAGUUCUGGAGCACCCAGGCAACUACAGACAGAUAGUAACUUCUCUUUUGUACACUGUCCCAAGUCUGUCCUUAUCUGAGAUCACCCUGGGAUCUUCCAGGCUUAAGCAGGGAGCCCCAAAGGCAGAAGAUGUCUCUGAGGGUCAAGAAAUAAUGCUGCUUCUUCCCUCUAGAGGGGACUCCUCAGCCCCCCUCUUGCCACCAUCACUAAGCUGGGGACCCAGGUUAGCAGCUGGAGGGACAUAGUGUGCUUAGUUGAGAGCUUAUCUCUCUUAUCAUCCAAGUGACAGGAAUACACAGCUUCCCCCAGGGCAUGCAUAGUGGUGUUCCCCUUUUUGCAUGUAUCAGGUAUAAUUGAUCAGGUUGAUGACAUAUAUAAUAAUGGUCAUUAUUUAUUAAACACCAUGUGUC